rnacentral:rRNA from 1 species
AGUGAACGCUGGCGGUAGGCCUAACACAUGCAAGUCGAACGGCAGCACAGUAAGAGCUUGCUCUUACGGGUGGCGAGUGGCGGACGGGUGAGGAAUACAUCGGAAUCUACUUUUUCGUGGGGGAUAACGUAGGGAAACUUACGCUAAUACCGCAUACGACCUACGGGUGAAAGCAGGGGAUCUUCGGACCUUGCGCGAUUGAAUGAGCCGAUGUCGGAUUAGCUAGUUGGCGGGGUAAAGGCCCACCAAGGCGACGAUCCGUAGCUGGUCUGAGAGGAUGAUCAGCCACACUGGAGCUUGGACACGGUCCAUGCUCCUACGGGAGGCAGCAGUGGGGAAUAUUGGACAAUGGGCGGAAGCCUGAUCCAGCCAUACCGCGUGGGUGGAGGAGGCCUUCGGGUUGUGAAGCCCUUUUGUUGGGAAAGAAAAGCAGCAGGUUAAUACCCCGCUGUUCUGACGGUACCCAAAGAAUAAGCACCGGCUAACUUCGUG